rnacentral:misc_RNA from 1 species
AAAUCAAUUCGCAAAGCUUGGCAUAUUAUCACAUUAGAAAACUGAGUUAAGGAAAGGUCUAGAAAGCAAUUUGAGUUUUAUAAAAAGAAGCAAGCCCAUGAGUUUGGACUCCCAAUCACAAAUCAAGUAAAUAUAGGUGGUGGUGAAUUGUCGUAUAGUGUUAUCUCAUAUUGAUUUGAAAUAAAGUGUUGGUGCUAUAUAUAAAAUAUGAAUAA